GCCCAGAUAGCUCAGUCGGUAGAGCAGGGGACUGAAAAUCCCCGUGUCGGCGGUUCGAUUCCGUCUCUGGGCA
rnacentral:tRNA from 3 species